UACAGAGGGUGCAAGCGUUGUUCGGAUUUACUGGGCGUAAAGGGCGCGUAGGCGGUUAGCACAGGUCAGUUGGGAAAUCUCCGGGCUUAACCCGGAAAGGUCAACUGAUACUGUGCGACUAGAGUGCGGAAGGGGCAACUGGAAUUCUCGGUGUAGCGGUGAAAUGCGUAGAGAUGUGGAGGAACACCGAUGGCGAAGGCAGCCCCCUGGGUCAAGAUUGACGCUCAUGCACGAAAGCGUGGGGAGCAAACAGG
rnacentral:rRNA from 1 species